CGCGGAGUGGAGCAGUCAGGUAGCUCAUCGGGCUCAUAACCCGAAGGUCGUGUGGUUCAAAUCCCGCCUCCGCAACCA
rnacentral:tRNA from 1 species